rnacentral:misc_RNA from 1 species
GUAGGUGAACCUGCGGAAGGAUCAUUACAGAGUUCAUGCCCUCACGGGUAGAUCUCCCACCCUUGAAUAUUAUACCUUCGUUGCUUUGGUAGGCCGUGGAAACACCACGGGCCCCGGCUUGUGCGUGCCUGCCAGAGGAAACCUAAACUCUGUUUUUAGUGAUGUCUGAGUACUAUAUAAUAGUUAAAACUUUCAACAACGGAUCUCUUGGUUCUG